UAGGAGUUUGCAUUGGUCCGCAAAUAUCUGAAUGAACAAGCUCCAAUGGCAUUUUAGCUCGCCAUGAAGUUUUAGGAAAUGGAAGUUUAUAUUUUUUUCAUAGAUACAACCGUCACACACUUUGUCUGUCCUUUGAAUUUUAGGAAGUCCGAUCACCAUAUUUUUCUCCUUGAGCAUUUGAAGUCCUCUGCCAUUUAGAUGGCCAUAUCGCAAAUGCCAUAGAUGUGACAAAUCUGCAUUUUGAACUUUGAGUGCACAAUUGUUGUCUAGUGGCAACAUGUGACAAACGGUUUUGUUUUUCAUUUCAACAUUUGCCACUAUGACAUUUUUCUUUUUAUUAAAAAUCUUGUAUCUUUCAUCAUCAAAGUGCACCGAAAAAUUCUUUUGCAAGAGUUGUCCAAUACUUAAGAGAUUAUAUGAAAGAUUUGGCACAUAAAGAACAUCAGUAAUAAGUUCUCUGUUACCUCCCUUAGUUUGGACUGCAAUGAUGCCUUUUCCUUCUGCUUUUCUUUGUGUUCCAUCUUCGAGAAUAAUUUGAGAAGUGAUAUUUGGAUUGAUCUCUACAAAGAUAUAUUUAUUUCCUGUCAUGUGAUUGCUAGCGCCGCUAUCCAAAUACCAUUUAUUCUUGGAUUCAAAGUCACCAUUUUGAUGAGAAUAAAAUAGAAUUUCAUCUUCACUUUCUUUCAAAAAAAUUUCCGAAUCUUCAUUUUUCUCCUUAUUUUGAAACCAACAAUCCUUUUGAGAUGAUUAGGUACCUUGCAUCUUUUGCAUUUAAAAUAGCAAUCUUUUGAUUCAUAAUUGUUCUUUUUGCAAAUAAUGCAAGAUUGAGC
rnacentral:lncRNA from 1 species